rnacentral:rRNA from 1 species
UACAGAGGGUGCAAGCGUUAAUCGGAUUUACUGGGCGUAAAGCGUGCGUAGGCGGUUCAUUAAGUCGAUUGUGAAAUCCCUGGGCUUAACCUGGGAACUGCAGUCGAUACUGGUGGACUAGAAUGCGGUAGAGGGUGGCGGAACUCCGGGUGUAGCGGUGAAAUGCGUAGAUAUCCGGAAGAACACCGAUGGCGAAGGCGGCCUGCUGGGCAGUAGCUGACGCUGAGGCGCGACAGCGUGGGGAGCAAACAGG